AAUAUGGUAAAACCGGAACCGAACCGAAAUAGACAAUAUGGUUUGGUUUUGGUAUAUACCAUACAAAUCGAAUGGAUAUAAUUUUAUAAAAACCGUAGGAUUUGGAUAUGGUUUGGUUUAUAACCGAUUAAAUCGAGCAAAAACGAUCAAAAGUAGAAACAUAUAAAUAUGUAUAUAUUUUAUAACGACGCAUGAAAAUCUAUUUGUUAUAUAAAUUGUUUUUUUUUCUAAUAACUAUUACCAUACUUUUUACUGUAAUAAAGAAACCCUAAUUUGUAAAACUCUUGAACUAUAAUUAAGUAAAAAUUCAUCGCAACUGACGCUUCUUAUUUUCUUAGUCUUUUUUUUUAUCUUUUUGUAAAUUGAUGGACAACAAUUAGUAGAAAUUCUUCAUAAUUUUUUUUUCUUGUCUAUAAAUGAACAGACUUUCGUGUUCAAUCAAAGAAGCAUGACUUUGAUGAACACUAAAUAUGAAAGAGUAGAAAACUUUUUUUUCAUGCUUCUGUUUUGUUUUUUAUUUAUAUUUUCAAAAUUUCAAGCUUUGAUUUUAAUUUUAGUUUUGAUUAUAAUAUUAGACGAUAGAAGCGUUUUUAUUUUUGUUUUUU
rnacentral:lncRNA from 1 species